GGUCAUGAGUACCAGCGCAAAGCCCCGGCUUGCUGGUCGGCAACCCUCCUUCCGCGGUGGGGUGCUCCGGGUGACGACCAGGUCCUUCUCCACCCGGAGCAGGGCAAGCGCGGACU
rnacentral:ncRNA from 1 species